CUCUGCCAACCUGUCAGUCCAGCCAUACAAGAGAGAGGGAGAGAGACAGAGGAAAAGAAAGGAGGGAGUGAAGCAGAGAUUCUUUCAGAUCUCAGCAGACAUUAAGGAACUACCAAACGUCACCUGAGAAAGUGAAGCUGCCCAACUUGAAUCACUUUGGUGAACCAAGUUCUGUAAAUGGGUCAGUAGGAGAGUUGCAGACAAGGCAGGUACUUUACAUUAAUUUUCCUUAGAAAAGACAAAAUGUUUCUAGCUCUUUCUAUCACAACUGACUUUUUAUUCUUUCUUGCCCCUCCCUUUCCCUCUGGAAAUUUUCCACAUUUCUGCCUAUGGUGGCACACACACGGUGACAAAGGCUGGAGCAGAUCUCUGCUUCAUCCCUCCUCUUACAGCCAUGGUGAAAUUAGAGGAAACACAGGUCUGUAAUCAUUAUCCCUUCCUCACCCUGCACAGAACUCCACAAGAUUUCACCCAAGGGCCAGCCAGCCUGCUGAUCGAGCUGCCACAGGUGAUCUAUGAAACAAAGAAACGGAUCCUGCCUACUGCAGCCAGGGAAAUACUUCUCUCGCUCCAAAAGAGCUCAGCCCGGGGAUCAAAGCUCUUGUUUUGGAAGGGACGUUCGAUUCCAGCGAGAGAGAAGGAUGUUAAGUUUAGGAGCAGCGCUGCGCGAUCGCUUGACUCGCUUCUGGUGCGCGCGAGGCUCGGGCGUUAGGGAUGAGUUACCCCGCACCGUUGCGUUUCUCCCCACCAAAAUAAAGAACAAAAGGAACAAAACUAUUUUCUCUCGGGUGUUUUUCCUUACGACGCGGGGCCUCGGAUAUUAGCCCGAGACAAGAAAGCUGGAGCGAGCCGGCGCGCUGCCCCCACGAGGGACCCC
rnacentral:lncRNA from 1 species